rnacentral:rRNA from 1 species
UACAGAGGGGGCGAGCGUUGUCCGGAAUCACUGGGCGUAAAGGGCGCGUAGGCGGCCUGCUAAGUAGAGGGUGAAAUCCUGCGGCUCAACCGCAGGGCUGCCUUCUAAACUGUCAGGCUGGAGCACGGUAGAGGCAGAUGGAAUUCCCGGUGUAGCGGUGGAAUGCGUAGAGAUCGGGAAGAACACCAGUGGCGAAGGCGGUCUGCUGGGCCGUUGCUGACGCUGAGGCGCGACAGCGUGGGGAGCAAACAGG